rnacentral:rRNA from 1 species
GCAUAGCGGUAUCCUGAGUAACGCGGGACACGAGGAAUCCUGCGCGAAUCUGCCGGGACCAUCCGGUAAGGCUAAAUACUCCCGUGAGACCGAUAGCGAACGAGUACUGUGAAGGAAAGGUGAAAAGAACCCCGAGCAGGGGAGUGAAAUAGUUCCUGAAACCAUACGCCUACAAGCGGUCGGAGCACAGCAAUGUGUGACGGCGUGCCUUUUGCAUAAUGAUCCUACGAGUUACCGUCACUGGCGAGGUUGAGUGUCACGAGACACGUAGCCGCAGUGAAAGCGAGCCUGAAGAGGGCGCACAGUCAGUGGGGGUAGACGCGAAACCAAGUGAUCUACACUUGGCCAGGAUGAAGUCCCGGUAACACGGGAUGGAGGUCCGCACCAAUAAGCGUUGAAAAGCUUCUGGAUGAGCCGAGUGUAGGAGUGAAAGGCCAAUCAAACUUGGAGAUAGCUCGUACUCCCCGAAAGGCAUUUAGGUGCCGCGUCGGAUGGUCACCGUGAGAGGUAGAGCGACCGAUAGGACAAGAGGGCUUCACCGCCUAUCGAGUCCUGACGAACUCCGAAUGCUCACGGUCUGCAGUCCGGCAGUAAGGGGGCGGGUGCUAAGGUCCGUCCCCGAGAGGAGAAGAAUCCAGACCGCCGUCUAAGGUCCCGGAGUUCUGCCUGAGUUAGUCUAACGAAGUCUGGUCCCUAUGACAGCUAGGAUGUUGGCUUGGAAGCAGCCAUUCAUUCAAAGAGUGCGUAACAGCUCACUAGUCGAGGGUCCGGGCAUGGAUAAUAAUCGGGUAUAAGGCAGACACCGAAGGCGCGGGAUAGCAAUUAUAAAAGUAUCGGUAGGGGAGCAUACUCACAGCGUCGAAUGGUGUACGUAAGUUAUCCUGGAGCGGUGAGUAAAGCAAAUGUAGGAAUAAGUAACGAUAAGGAGGGUUAGAUUCCCUCCCGCUGUAAGACCAAGGUUUCCCGGGCAAUGCCAAUCAGCCCGGGGUCAGUCGGGUCCUAAGUCUAAGCCGAACGGCGAUGGCGAUGGCAGAGACGGUUAAUAUUCCGUCACUGCCGCAUGGGGCGACGUGGAGACGGAGCAGUGAAACCACCGCGGGGCGACGGAAGUCCCCGUUGAAGGGUGUAGGCGUUGAGGAUGGCAGGCAAAUCCACCAUCCGAGCUGAACCUGACAGUACGGAGUCCUCCUCGGAGGAAUCUGAUAGUGUGGGUAAUCAUACUCCCGAGAAAAUCCGCUAAGCUUAACCCAUGCGGCACCCGUACCGCAAACGGACACACGUGGUCGGGUAGAACAUACUAAGGCGUUGAGAGAUUCAUGGUUAAGGAACUAGGCAAAUUGACCCUGUAACUUCGGGAUAAAGGGUCCUCGUGAUGAGCGAGGCGCAGAGAAUAGGUCCAGGCAACUGUUUAACAAAAACACAGGGCUGUGCAAACUCGAAAGAUGACGUAUACAGCCUGACACCUGCCCGGUGCCGGAAGGUUAAGAGGAGAUGUCACUCGCAAGAGGAAGCAUUGAAUUGAAGCCCCGGUAAACGGCGGCCGUAACUAUAACGGUCCUAAGGUAGCGAAAUUCCUUGUCGGGU